CACAAAUUUCACUGUAGAGGGAGUAUACGAAAUAGGAAUUAGGCGGAUAAACUAUUCUUAAUCUAGAAGAAACUCAGUUGCCUUUAUGAAAAGCAACGGUUUACUUCCAGAGACCUGAGAAUUUGAAAAUAUUGGCUAGGUUAAACGAGAAAAGGUGUAAAGGAAACCGCACCCUCCCUUUUUGAUAGUACAUCUCACAGGGCGCCUCUUUCCACGGUGGUAGCUUCGCCAGACUUUUUCUAUGGUUAUUAUCUUACGUGGAAUGGGCGCUCUGCAACGCGACCAUAGAGCAGUUCCCUCCCGGAAGACCUCCGAGUUCGCGGGCUCUACCCCAAAUCCUCUGAACUGCUGUUCGCUAGCUUCCCUCAAUGAUUUGUUCCAAGAAAGUUUGUGGCCCUGAUUGAACUGUUGCGGUUCUCAGAAGCCUCCACCGGAGGGCGUCCGGGCGCUGCCUAGGGUUCCUCCAUCUGGUGCGGGACACACCCAGGACCGUGUGCCGGCGAUGCGAGCAAAACACAGUGGGCUUGCCUUGGCAGGAGUCCCUUUGUGGACCUGUGAUUAUCGGAGGUGCUCUGUUUCUAUGUGAAUAUGAACCUUUGCAUCUGUGACUACCCAUUGUACUCUGAGUAUUUGUGUCACUUUCUUUACUCUUUGUAUCUGUAUCUGUGUCACUCUAGUUUCUUCUAUUUCUGGUAUCGGCCUGUGCGUAAGUUUAUAUCUAGGUAAUUUUGUGUGUCUCUGUUACUCUUAUGCAUCUGAAUUUCAGUGGCUCAGUAUUUGUGACCAGGUGUGCCUGAGUGUGUACAUUAAUUAAAGUGUCUGUUAUUUUGGUGUGUGCGUUGGGGAGGGGGUCUCUGUGUGACCCUGUGAGGAUCUAUGUGCCUAUUCCUCAGUAGGGGUUUGGGAGAGUCUGCAUUUAUUUUCUUGCAUUUCUUUUUGUCUAUUUGUAUGUUCAUUCCUACCCUCUUUGUGAGAGGAGAACUUCCACCAAACCCCUUUGUUUACUGAUGGGGAAACUGAGUUGACAGAGAGAGGAACCACAUACAUGACAGCUGAGUGGGAUUGCAAAGACAAGAGAGGAUGGAAGUGGGAUUACAAAAUUUUAUGUGAUAUGAGCCCCUCUGGAGGCACCAGAGUCCACACUCUGUAUAGGGGGCAUGAGAGACUGGCUCAGGGGGACAGCAUGGCCCACAAGGAGGGGAUUGUCCCCUGGGGAAAGGAGGUAUCCCUAA